rnacentral:rRNA from 1 species
UACGGAGGGUGCAAGCGUUAUCCGGAUUCACUGGGUUUAAAGGGUGCGUAGGAGGGCAGGUAAGUCAGUGGUGAAAUCUUCGAGCUUAACUCGGAAACUGCCGUUGAUACUAUUUGUCUUGAAUACCGUGGAGAUGAGCGGAAUAUGUCAUGUAGCGGUGAAAUGCUUAGAUAUGACAUAGAACACCAAUUGCGAAGGCAGCUCGUUACACGAAUAUUGACUCUGAGGCACGAAAGCGUGGGGAUCAAACAGG